UCCUUCCCGUAGUGCAAAGGGCGCUUGAGCGAGGUGAUCGGAGCAGUCGCAGCGAGGACUAUGUUGCUUCCGAACAUCCUGCUCACCGGUACACCAUGGGUUGGAAAAACCACACUAGGCAAAGAACUUGCAUCAAAAUCAGGACUGAAAUACAUUAAUGUGGGUGAUUUAGCUCGAGAAGUCUGAUCAUCGGAUAUCAUGGAGUCUGGCAAGAUGGCUUCUCCCAAGAGCAUGCCGAAAGGUGCCCAGAUGAUGGCACAAAUCCUGUAGGAUAUGGGGAUUACAGAAUAUGAGCCAAGAGUUAUAAAUCAGAUGUUGGAGUUUGCCUUCCGAUAUGUGACCACAAUUCUAGAUGAUGCAAAAAUUUAUUCAAGCCAUGCUAAGAAAGCUAUCGUUGAUGCAGACGAUGUGCGAUUGGCAAUCCAGUGCCGCGCUGACCAGUCUUUUACCUCUCCUCCCCCAACAGAUUUUUUUAUUAGAUAUCGCAAGGAAAAGAAAUCAAGCGCCUUUGCCAUUAAUCAAGCCAUGUUCAGGUCCUACGUUGCCACCUGAUAGGUAUUGCUUAACAGCUCCAAACUAUAGGCUGAAAUCUUUACAGAAAAAGGCAUCAACUUCUGCGGGAAGAGUAACAGUCCCACAGUUAAGUGUUGGUUUGGUGACUAGCAGACCAAGUACUCCCACACUAGGCACACCAACCCCACAGACCAUGUCUGUUUCAACUAAAGUGGGGACUCCCAUGUCCUUCACAGGAAAAAGGUUUACAGUACAGAUGCCUACAUCGCAGUUUCCAGCUUUAAAAGCUUCAAUUCCUGCAACUUCAGCAGUUCAGAAUGUUCUCAUUAAUCCAUCAUUAACUGGGUCCAAGAACAUUCUUAUUAUCACUAAUAUGGUGUCAUCACAAAAUACUGCCAAUGAAUCAUCAAAUGCAUUGAAAAGAAAACAUGGGGGGAGAAGCCAAGAUGGCCGAAAUUCCCGGGCGGAGGAGCUCCACGGUCACCAGCGCGGCUGUUUCGGCCAGUGUGGCUGUGCCGGCCGGCGCUGCUGCUUUGCCCAGCGCGGCUACUUUGUCGGCGCCCCGGAGCCGCGGUUCUCCAUACAAAAUACACCGGUCUGGGUGCCCUUUUGGCUGGUGAUUGGAGCCACGGGAAGUCGCCCAUUCGUCUGA